CUCAGGCCGGACAUGACGCCAAGAGUCACCGCUUUUCCACCGGGCGGAAGCUUUCGCUGGGUAUAGACAUCUACACGUCACGUCCGUGUUCUAUUUGCUUCCGAUUAGAAUGUAUUCACAUGCAGUAAUGUUCUACCAUGCAAACCAAGCUGGACCAAUGUUGACCAAAUGGACAUGUAUCAUAGAACACGAUUAGGCAUGACUGAUCUGUGCAAGUCAGAUUGUCAGCACCGAAGGAUUGUUCUUCCUAGCAUUGUUGAGGUGGGUCCAUAUGAUAAGGCAGUGGGAUUCAACAGAGAUACACAAACAGGCAAAAAGAAAUAUAUCUUGUUGGCCUAAGUCCAUAUGGAGAAUUGUUAUCUUGCUUGCAGCUACAGAAAGCUUUACAUUGACCAGCCAAUGCUGGCUGUGAUGCUUAGCCUGACUUCAUUCAUUUUCAAGGUCAACGUAAAGCAAUGAAGCGAUUAGUAUUCAAGCUUUCUAAUGAACCAAAGAGAGAGUGACAAAGAGCAGAGAUGCAGAGGAAAUUACCACUGUUUUGGUGCACAAAUCCAGAUCAAGAAAAAACAGCUUUUCGACUGUAUUAGUUCUAUAAAACAAAGACACCACCCACAAGGAAAUACCAGUUACAAGACUCCUACACAGUUGUUAAUUAACAUCCACAUUGAUGUAUACAUUUAACCUUGUUUAUGUAUAGUGGUAAUAUCCUGCAGAGAGAAUAAACUAUUAAAAUGUUA